rnacentral:rRNA from 2 species
GUGGUAAUGCCGGAUGUUCCAGUUGAUCGCAUGGUCUUCUGGGAAAGCUUUCGCGGUAUGGGAUGGGGUCGCGUCCUAUCAGCUUGACGGCGGGGUAACGGCCCACCGUGGCUUCGACGGGUAGCCGGCCUGAGAGGGCGACCGGCCACAUUGGGACUGAGAUACGGCCCAGACUCCUACGGGAGGCAGCAGUGGGGAAUAUUGCACAAUGGGCGCAAGCCUGAUGCAGCGACGCCGCGUGAGGGAUGGAGGCCUUCGGGUUGUAAACCUCUUUUAUCGGGGAGCAAGCGAGAGUGAGUUUACCCGUUGAAUAAGCACCGGCUAACUACGUGCCAGCAGCCGCGGUAAUACGUAGGGUGCAAGCGUUAUCCGGAAUUAUUGGGCGUAAAGGGCUCGUAGGCGGUUCGUCGCGUCCGGUGUGAAAGUCCAUCGCUUAACGGUGGAUCCGCGCCGGGUACGGGCGGGCUUGAGUGCGGUAGGGGAGACUGGAAUUCCCGGUGUAACGGUGGAAUGUGUAGAUAUCGG